rnacentral:rRNA from 1 species
AGAAUCAACGCUGGCGGCGUGCCUAACACAUGCAAGUCGAACGCGAAAGUCCCGCAAGGGGCAAGUAGAGUGGCAAACGGGUGAGUAACACGUGGGUGACCUGCCUUCGAGUGGGGGAUAACGUCCCGAAAGGGACGCUAAUACCGCAUGACAUCCUGCCUUUGGAAAGGUGGAGAUCAAAGCCGGGGAUCGCAAGACCUGGCGCUUGAAGAGGGGCCCGCGCCUGAUUAGCUAGUUGGUGGGGUAACGGCCUACCAAGGCGACGAUCAGUA